AGUGAACGCUGGCGGUAGGCCUAACACAUGCAAGUCGAACGGCAGCACAGUAAGAGCUUGCUCUUACGGGUGGCGAGUGGCGGACGGGUGAGGAAUACAUCGGAAUCUACUUUUUCGUGGGGGAUAACGUAGGGAAACUUACGCUAAUACCGCAUACGACAUACGGGUGAAAGCAGGGGAUCUUCGGACCUUGCGCGAUUGAAUGAGCCGAUGUCGGAUUAGCUAGUUGGCGGGGUAAAGGCCCACCAAGGCGACGAUCCGUAGCUGGUCUGAGAGGAUGAUCAGCCACACUGGAACUGAGACACGGUCCAGACUCCUACGGGAGGCAGCAGUGGGGAAUAUUGGACAAUGGGCGCAAGCCUGAUCCAGCCAUACCGCGUGGGUGAAGAAGGCCUUCGGGUUGUAAAGCCCUUUUGUUGGGAAAGAAAAGCAGCGGGUUAAUACCCCGCUGUUCUGACGGUACCCAAAGAAUAAGCACCGGCUAACUUCGUG
rnacentral:rRNA from 1 species